rnacentral:rRNA from 1 species
CGCCUGUUUAAACAAAAACAUGUCUUUUUGAUUUGAAAUUAUAAAGUCUGACCUGCCCACUGAUUGAAUUUGAAGGGCCGCGGUAUUUUGACCGUGCAAAGGUAGCAUAAUCAUUAGUCUUUUAAUUGAAGGCUGGUAUGAAUGGUUUAACGAAACAUUAACUGUCUCAUUAUAAAUUUUAAAAUUUAACUUUUUAGUUAAAAGGCUAAAAUGGAGUUAUAGGACGAGAAGACCCUAUAGAGCUUUAUAUUUAUAAUUAAAAAUUAUUUUUUGGUUUUGUGUUUUAUGAUUUUAAAUUAAAUUUAUUAGGUUGGGGUGACUUGAAGAUUUAUAAAACUCUUUAUUUGUGGAAACAUAGAUUUAUGGAAAUUUGAUCCAUUAAUAAUGAUUAAAAGAUUAAGUUACCUUAGGGAUAACAGCGUA